rnacentral:lncRNA from 1 species
CCAUUCGUUCCAAGCCAUCCGCGAGCAAAUCUUCGGAUCCAACGAGACGACACUAAAUCCGGCCCCAAUGAACGGCUUCGCGCAGCAAGCCGAGUCCAUCCUCCCUGGCAUGGGCAAAACCGUCAUGAGCGGCUUCAAACCCGAAACCCUCCCCGUCUACACCAAACUCGCCACCCACUUCGCCGUUUUCGACAAGUGGUUCGCUUCGGUUCCGGCUUCGACCCAACCGAACCGGUUCUACGUCCACUCCGCCACCUCCCACGGCGCCAUGAGCAACGUCCGCAAGAACCUCGUCCUUGGCUUCCCCCAGAAAACCAUCUUCGACUCCCUCAAUGAGAACGGCCUCACCUUCGGCAUCUACUACCAGAACAUCCCCGCCACGCUCUUCUUCAAGAGCCUCCGCAAGCUCAAGAACGCGGUCAAGUUCCAUGACUACGCUCUCAAGUUCAGGAAGCACGCCCAG